rfam:Rattus norvegicus chromosome 5, whole genome shotgun sequence.
GGGGAUUUAGCUCAGUGGUAAAGCGCUUGCCUAGCAAGUGCAAGGCCCUGGGUUCAGUCCCCA